rnacentral:misc_RNA from 1 species
GUGCACCUCUGUAGUUUAGUGCCCCCAUGACCUAAAAAUCCUAUUUAGCUUAAUAAGAAUAUGUUUCCAUUGACGGAUGACCUGUAAUUUCUCACUGUAUUGCAUAUAGAAUAAUAUAAGUUUGUGCAUUGAAUAUUGCUUGAGAUAAUUUUGAAACUAAUGCUAUCAUUCUGCCGAUAAAAAUAAAGUUGUAUUUGGAAACCUGGUAAUGUUUGAUUAAAAUUGUAUUCGUUUGAUUGAAGCAGGAUGUCUAACUAAUGUAGCAAUUCUCUUAUAGAUUGGUCCUUUGAGAUGUUGGC